UAAACUAGUACCACUCCUCCACACGAGACCCCAUGACUACUAGUCUUUCGGCUGGGGCACCCCCGGGAAAAAAUAAAACCCCCGGAAUGAAAGGAACUACCUUAUCCCAGAAUUACUAUUCCAAGAAUCAAAAAAUGACACUAUUGACCCAAUACUUGAUCAACGAACCAAGCUACCCUGGGGAUAACAGCGCAAUCCAU
rnacentral:rRNA from 1 species